UACGGAGGGUGCAAGCGUUAUCCGGAUUCACUGGGUUUAAAGGGUGCGUAGGUGGGCAGGUAAGUCAGUGGUGAAAUCUCCGAGCUUAACUCGGAACUGCCGUUGAUACUAUUUGUCUUGAAUAUUGUGGAGGUAAGCGGAAUAUGUCAUGUAGCGGUGAAAUGCUUAGAUAUGACAUAGAACACCAAUUGCGAAGGCAGCUUGCUACACAACGAUUGACGCUGAGGCACGAAAGCGUGGGGAUCAAACAGG
rnacentral:rRNA from 1 species